UCCAGACUCCUACGGGAGGCAGCAGUGAGGAAUAUUGGUCAAUGGGCUUACGCCUGAACCAGCCAAGUCGCGUGAGGGAAGACUGCCCUAUGGGUUGUAAACCUCUUUUGUCAGGGAGCAAUUGGCGCUACGUGUGGCGUUAUCGAGAGUACCUGAAGAAAAAGCAUCGGCUAACUCCGUGCCAGCAGCCGCGGUAAUACGGAGGAUGCGAGCGUUAUCCGGAUUUAUUGGGUUUAAAGGGUGCGUAGGCGGAAUGCCAAGUCAGCGGUAAAAUCGCGGGGCUCAACCUCGCUCCGCCGUUGAAACUGGCGUUCUUGAGUGGGCGAGAAGUAUGCGGAAUGCGUGGUGUAGCGGUGAAAUGCAUAGAUAUCACGCAGAACCCCGAUUGCGAAGGCAGCAUGCCGGCUUCCGACUGACGCUGAAGCACGAAAGCGUGGGGAUCGAACAGGAUUAGAUACCCGUGUAC
rnacentral:rRNA from 1 species